UCCUCGUUAGUAUAGUGGUGAGUAUCCCCGCCUGUCACGCGGGAGACCGGGGUUCGAUUACCCGACGGGGAG
rfam:Loxodonta africana unplaced genomic scaffold scaffold_84, whole genome shotgun sequence.